rnacentral:rRNA from 1 species
GAUGAACGCUGGCGGCGUGCCUAAUACAUGCAAGUCGAGCGAACAGACGAGGAGCUUGCUCCUCUGACGUUAGCGGCGGACGGGUGAGUAACACGUGGAUAACCUACCUAUAAGACUGGGAUAACUUCGGGAAACCGGAGCUAAUACCGGAUAAUAUAUUGAACCGCAUGGUUCAAUAGUGAAAGACGGUUUUGCUGUCACUUAUAGAUGGAUCCGCGCCGCAUUAGCUAGUUGGUAAGGUAACGGCUUACCAAGGCAACGAUGCGUAGCCGACCUGAGAGGAGGAGCCGCCCGACGGGAACUGAGCCCCGGACCAGACGCAGACGGGAGGGAGCAGGGGGGAAUGGGGGAAGAUGGGCUGAAGCCGGAGAAAGCGAGGCAGUGUGGGGGAAGAAGUUUUGAGGAUUGUAAAUAUGUGUAAAUGGGAAAGAAGAAAAGUAAGUGAACACCCGCCGGUGCGGACGCGACAAAAAGAAAGACCCCCCGCCACCCCCGGG